UAACCCACUGAGCCACCCAGGCGCCCCUAAUUUUUGGGAUCUUUUGAGUUCUUGUAGCUUUUUAAUAUACUACCUCUUCAGGUAAUUAAUUACAUUGAAAAAAAAAAAAAACAAGGAAAAAGUCAACCAGCUCACAAACAAUGAGCCAGGCAUACAUUGGCAGUGAUAUAUACUUUUAAAAAAGCUAAUUAGAAAAAAAAAUGCUGCAGUACAUAUCAUCUAGCUAAGUGUUAAAGCAGAAAUAGAAGAAAUUGACACAUUCCUGCAGAAGAAAAAAAAUUGCCAGUGAUCAUCCUGUAUCGGUGCCAAAGACAUCCUGAAGAGUUUCUCCUUUAGACGGACCAUGAGGGUGUUUCGUAGGUUCUUCUUGCAAAGGUCCUGCUUCCCCUGGAACCCACCUUACAGCACUUCCCUUGGAAAUACUCAAAUCAAAAGAGAACCUGCGAAUGAAUCUACUGGAGAACAGCAGCAUGCAUCACAGCCCAUUUGCUACGGAAACUAUGUUCGGCAAGCAUCAAAUGUCUGAAUUUCUUUUCCUGGGCAUCGUGGAGUUGACAGGGUUUAUUUAUAACAGGGGAUAUUCUAAAAUUGGCCACUAACCAGCACAGAAAAGUAAAGUCCAUAGUACUGCUGCAAAUUCAAGUCCUUCUUUCUGUAAACGCAAACAGAAGCGGAGCGGGCCGCAGCCGUGCUUGAAAGGAGGAGAGAGAGAGAGAGAGAGCACGCACAAGCAGGA